AUUGAACGCUGGCGGCAUGCCUUACACAUGCAAGUCGAACGGCAGCACGGGAGCAAUCCUGUGGCGAGUGGCGAACGGGUGAGUAAUGUAUCGGAACGUGCCCAGUCGUGGGGAUAACGUAGCGAAAGCUACGCUAAUACCGCAUACGAUCUAUGGAUGAAAGCGGGGGAUCGCAAGACCCCGCGCGAUUGGAGCGGCCGAUAUCAGAUUAGGUAGUUGGUGGGGUAAAGGCUCACCAAGCCGACGAUCUGUAGCUGGUCUGAGAGGACGACCAGCCACACUGGGACUGAGACACGGCCCAGACUCCUACGGGAGGCAGCAGUGGGGAAUUUUGGACAAUGGGCGCAAGCCUGAUCCAGCAAUGCCGCGUGCAGGAUGAAGGCCUUCGGGUUGUAAACUGCUUUUGUACGGAACGAAACGGCGAGCUCUAAUACAGUUUGCUAAUGACGGUACCGUAAGAAUAAGCACCGGCUAACUACGUGCCAGCCGCCGCAGUAA
rnacentral:rRNA from 1 species